GCAUAUAACACAGAAAAGGCUUGAUUAAGAAAGUGAAGAACAAAGGGGUCCAAUUUUAUUUAUAAAAUGUCGUAAAGUUGUUCUCUAAACAGACAAGCAGUGAAAUGUGAGCUUCAAAAACAUAACUACAACAUCCAUCCAUCCAUUAUCUAUACAUUGCUUUAUUUUCAUUAGAGUCAUGGGAGGCUAGAGUCUAUCCCAGCUGACUCAGGGUGAAGGCAGGAGACACCUGGACAGGUAACAGUCUGUCGCAGGGCUACAUAUGCAGACGAACAAUCACACUCCCAUUCACACCUACGGACAAUUUAGAAUCACCAAUUAACCUCAGCAUGUUUUUGGACUGUGGGAGGAAGCCGGAGAACCUGGAGAAAACCCACACAUGCACAGGGAGAACAUGCAAACUCCAUGCAAACUCCAUGCAGAAAGAACCGGGGAUCUACUAGCUGCAAGGCGAACGUGCUAACCACUAUGUCACUUUGCAGCCCUAACUACAUGUAAUGUUUUAUUUAAUUCAAUCCAUUUUUUUUUACAUAGGAGGAGAUAUAUUUGUUACACCAACAUACAAGGUCCCUACAACAGAAUAGACAUCACAAGACAACCAAGUUGGACUAUAUUGGGUAACAGGCAGACAGUUAGUGAGGUCAUAGAAGUGAGUUACAUCUGAGAUGCAGAAAGUCAUUAAGAUUCUCGAUGCUGCUUGUUGAAUGUUGUUCCACUCCUCAUGAAGGACAUUGACCGAGGCUUUGGUAGACAAGAUCAUAUUGUCAGACAUUCAGAGCGUCUCUUAGAUGUUGGAUGGGUGAUGUGUGGAGGAUAUGCAGGCCAAGAGAAGCUCAGGUAUUAUUGAGAUAUGAGGAUGCAGGUUGUCUUGUUAAAACAUCUAAUGAUAACAGCAAUUUGACAGGAUAGCCAUGGGUAUCAGGAUUUCAUUUCAGUAUCAUUGGUCAUCAAGAUUGCCAUCAAGGAAUGCAGAUGUGUUCUUUGACCAUGGUAUAUCCCUCCUUAUACCAUCAUUCGUCCUCCUCCCUGGGCCACACUCCUUACAUUGUUGACAUCUGUAUAGGGUUCCCUUGUAUGAUGCCAAAUGCAGCAUCUACCAUCUGCUUUAUGCAGCUGAAAAUGAGGUUCUUCAUUGAAAAGAAAUGCCCACCAUGUUGGCAGUGUCUAACGAAUGUGAGUGGUUGCCACUGGAUCAAGACCUUGGUGUGGACAACAAGACCGAAACCUGCUUCUCCCCGAUUCCUCACAGUUUGAGCAGAUAUUUUCUGAUGGUUCAAACCAACAACUUCAUCAGCCACUCUAGCCAAUCACAGAUUAUUCAGCAAAGGGACGAGACAGAUGCAAUGAUCACGGGCUCAGUUGGAAACGUGUGGUCUGUGGUCAUGUGGCAGAUUUUCACACUAUGCACUCAAGCAGACACACACACACACACACAAACACACUAAAGCAGCUGGGUAGCUCAGUGACUAACACCCCUGACUUUGGCACAGACCACUAGGCAAGGUUCUUAGCGCCUCACCUAGGGUUGCCACCCAUCCCUUAAAAUACGGAAGCGUCGUUUAUUCGACAAUUAAUUGUUGCUUCCCGUAUUGAAUCAAUAAGGGACGCAAGUUGUUCCGUAUUUUCAUAAAUGCCCCGUACACGUCUGUCACACACUCAUCAAAACUGCAUAAUGAAUAAAAUAAAACAGGAAAUAUUAAGGGCAGCCAUUUUCCUCUUCGUAGGACCUAUGCAGCGAGGACCCGAUGCCAGGUCCAGUGGACAGACUUCAGACGUCUCUGUGUGUCCGGUCCUGUCCGGUCCUGUCUCUGGUUGCCAGGUUACAGAUGCUGCUGCACCCGCACGUUUAAAAAUGUCUACACCUGAAACUCCACCACGUCUAAAGAAGCAAAAACGUUUGCGAAUGUACAGACUGGAGUGGGAAGAGUGGAACCCCUGGCAAUGGAUACAAGGCAGACUGUGUUUUCUGUUGCUCAUGGACUGGCUGAAGUAAGGCAGCAUCAGGAGACAAACAUGGAGGAAAUAUGAGAACAGAGAGAACCCAACCAGCAGGUCACAGUUUAUCAUCAUCUAAUCAUCUCCUGAAGUCCAUAUGGUCCCUCUCUAUCUCCCCACACAUCCACCAACCACUGGAACACAUCUCCAAAGUUCUGCCGGGCCAGCUCAGCUUCCCCUCAGAAGAAGUGCUGCCACCUGCCAGAUGAAGGAGCCUUUUGAGAGGCAGCUGGCAUCGUGAUUGGACUGUACUUUGGUCUGUUCCAAUCCAGCUUCAGCUCCAGAGACGGCAGGCGGGACGAGUCAACGGAGGCCGGGUGGACGAAGGCAUGCAGCUGAGUACAAUCCAGAAAACAACAGAGGAGGAGUGCAGCGGCCCAGAGCCAGAACAACCAGAGUAGCAUCACCAAAGAACUACAGACUCUUCACAACCUGCUCAAACUCUUGGUACAGGACCUCACCACACGGGUCAAGAAGGUUUCCAUCUCAUUUCUACUCUGAAGAUCACCUUCUCCUGCUCAAACUACUGACAAAUGUUUCUGCUGCUCUAAAGUCUGGUCUCCAGAACUUCCUAAAAACUCUCAAAGUCUCUUCUGCUGCAGGUUGCUUUGUAGAACUGUUGCAGAAAACCUCACUAAACCACAUGGAGGGGCCUCAAGAUAGUCGUCCAAAUGAAACCGUACAAAAACCAAACUAGCACAACCCAAACGCUAAAGUCUCCUGCAGCCUACCAGAGAACCUCUGAGAACAGAGAAUCAGGACAGGAACUCUUACCUUCUGGACAACCAACCUUGGUUCACAAACAAGAACACAGAAUGUGUCUGACCAAAAACCUCUAAAGACUCACUACAGCCAAGAUAAAGACACAACUCAGCUGCACCAAAUCCACUAAUCACUGCACACAUUAACACCAUGUGCUAACUGUGGCUAAAGAACCACCUUUACCAAGACAACUAUCCAGUACAAAGCCCUAAAACACACCAAGAAACACAUUAAAGACGAUUUUACUGCUGGAAGCUGCAAGCCAACG